rnacentral:rRNA from 1 species
AGCGAACGCUGGCGGCAGGCCUAACACAUGCAAGUCGAACGAACCUUUCGGGGUUAGUGGCGGACGGGUGAGUAACACGUGGGAACGUGCCUUUAGGUUCGGAAUAACUCAGGGAAACUUGUGCUAAUACCGAAUGUGCCCUUCGGGGGAAAGAUUAAUCGCCUUUAGAGCGGCCCGCGUCUGAUUAGCUAGUUGGUUGAGGUAAUGGCUCACCAAGGCGACGAUCAGUAGCUGGUCUGAGAGGAUGAUCAGCCACAUUGGGACUGAGACACGGCCCAAACUCCUCGGGGAGGAAGAGUGGGGAAUCUUGCGCAAUGGGCGAAAGCCUGACGCAGCCAUGCCGCGUGAAUGAUGAAGGUCUUAGGAUUGUAAAAUUCUUUCACCGGGGACGAUAAUGACGGUACCCGGAGAAGAAGCCCCGGCUAACUUCGUG